rnacentral:ncRNA from 1 species
UCAAAUUCAUUGACGAGAAAGAGUACGCUAAACCCCUUGUUCCCCAGAGAGUUGGCCUAGUGCUGAAAGCCAACGUUCAAGACUUAGCCGAAAAUCCUCUCCGAGAAGGAAAGCUGAAGCGCAACAAAGUAAGCUGACCCGGGACCCCGCCGUUACAAGGGGCGCGUAUGAUGGUACGUAGCAGAGGUGUCGAAGCGUCACGUUUUCGUGAUCGUUUCGGAACAAGGGUGGUAACGCGAGAUGAAAUCUCGUCCCUUCG